rnacentral:rRNA from 1 species
UACGUAGGGUGCGAGCGUUAAUCGGAAUUACUGGGCGUAAAGCGUGCGCAGGCGGUUCGUUGUGUCGGCGGUGAAAGCCCCGGGCUUAACCUGGGAAUGGCCGUUGAAACUGGCGAACUGGAGUGUGGCAGAGGGGGGUGGAAUUCCGCGUGUAGCAGUGAAAUGCGUAGAGAUGCGGAGGAACACCGAUGGCGAAGGCAGCCCCCUGGGCUGACAUUGACGCUCAGGCACGAAAGCGUGGGGAGCAAACAGG